rnacentral:misc_RNA from 1 species
GAAAUGCGAUAAGUAGUGUGAAUUGCAGAAUUCAGUGAAUCAUCGAAUCUUUGAACGCACAUUGCGCCCCUUGGUAUUCCAUGGGGCAUGCCUGUUCGAGCGUCAUUUGUACCCUCAAGCUCUGCUUGGUGUUGGGUGUUUGUCCCGUCUCCGCGCGUGGACUCGCCCCAAAUUGAUGGGCAGCCGGCGUACUGGUCCCGGAGCGCAGCACAUGUCGCGCAAACGAGUGCCUUGGUACGGCGGCGUCCAUAAGCCCCUCUCUCACGCUCUUGACCUCGGAUCAGGUAGGGAUACCCGCUGAACUUAAGC